GACGUAGGGCGCGAGCGUUGUCCGGAUUUAUUGGGCGUAAAGAGCUCGUAGGCGGCUUGUCGCGUCGACUGUGAAAUCCCGCGGCUCAACUGCGGGUCUGCAGUCGAUACGGGCAGGCUAGAGUUCGGCAGGGGAGAACGGAAUUCCUGGUGUAGCGGUGAAAUGCGCAGAUAUCAGGAGGAACACCGGUGGCGAAGGCGGUUCUCUGGGCCUUACCUGACGCUGAGGAGCGAAGGCGUGGGGAGCAAACAGG
rnacentral:rRNA from 1 species